rnacentral:rRNA from 1 species
GAUGAACGCUGGCGGCUUGUCUAAUACAUGCAAGUCGAGCGAACAGACGAGGAGCUUGCUCCUCUGACGUUAGCGGCGGACGGGUUAGUAACACGUUGAUAACCUACCUAUAAGACUGUGAUAACUUCGGGAAACCGGAGCUAAUACCGGAUAAUAUAUUGAACCGCAUGGUUCAAUAGUGAAAUACGGUUUUGCUGUCACUUAUAGAUGGAUCCGCGCCGCAUUAGCUAGUUGGUAAGGUAACGGCUUACCAAGGCAACGAUGCGUAGCCGACCUGAGAGGGUGAUAGGACACACUGGAACUGAAACGCGGUCAAGGCUCCUAAGGGAGGCAGCAGUAGGGAAUCUUCCGCAAUGGGCGAAAGCAUGACGGAGCAACGCCGCGUGAGUGAUGAAGGUCUUCGGAUCGUAAAAAUCUGUUAUUAGGGAAGAACAAAUGUGUAAGUAACUAUGCACGUCUUGACGGUACCGAAUCAGAAAGCCACGGCUAACUACGUG